ACUGCCACAGACCUCCAUCUCCGCCGCUAUUCUCUCCUCUUCCUCUCCAAUUCCCUCUGCUUUUUAGCGAAGUUACAAGUUGCGUUCUUCACUGAAUCUAACAACACCUUCGUCUUCAAAGGUCUGCCCUCACUUCGGCUUUACUUUGGUGGCUACUAGCUCAGAUACUUUGCGGCGAAAAGCUUGUGAAGAAAUGUCUUGCAACCAACCAAAUAAACUAUCACGUACAAAAGAACAAACUUUAAAAGAGCCUCCUUCUGUUAACAUCCAAGAAAAUGCCUCCAAUCAAAUUAGAACUUCAACAUGUUCUUCUAACAAAGCAAAACAACUCUUCUCUCCUUUUUAUGCAUUUGAAAAAGGCUCAACAUCCA